CCUGACAUAGCUCAGCUGGUAGAGCGGAGGACUGUAGAAAUGUGCGGACAUCCUUAGGUCGCUGGUUCAAAUCCGGCUGUCAGGA